AGCGCCGUCUGUUGUCAAGUCGUCUUAAGGAUGCGGUUACGUACCUGUGAUUUGUCAUAAGAUGCAGUUACGCUUCUGUGAUUUUUGUCCUAAGUUGUGGUUGCGUUCACGUGAUUUUGUCUGAAGACGAGGUUAUGUCGCUGUGACGAUAACGUGCUGAUCCCAGGAGCGUGUGCCUUGGGGCAACUAAAACAGUAAGGAGAUAUCCUCUUGGUCGGUCAAUAGCGGUGGUUAAUCAAAAGAAUCUACCUCAUUGAGUCUAUUCUUUAGAAACCCAAACGUAAGGAUAUAAUGGCAGUUAAAGACCCACAUUGUUUCCCUUCUGUCCACUGGUGUUUCUUAGACCUUUUUACUCUCAAUGAGAGGAUGUUGAGAAGGUCUGAAUGUGGUCAGCUCCCUAGAAAAGCAGUAUCGUAUAACGGAAUGCUCAGUUUUAGUGUGCAGUACAGAGCUAGUCCCAUUUUUAAGCGAUCUGUAGUUAAGUGCAUGAUGUCACAGCAGUCCAGGCCGUGGGCAGUUGGCAGUCAUUGGCUGUAUUGACGUACUCAAAGCUAUUCUGUGUGGCUUGACGCUAGUGGCUCUGCUGUGUGGACGUUAUAUUAUUGGUGCAAUGUGUUGACAGUCAUUUAAUCCUUUUCGUACAACCUGAAUGGGUUUCCACCGGUGUGAAUAAUACAUCAUUCACAUUAAAUAUAAGUAAUAAAAAAUGUAUCAAUAUGUUAUUUAAAGAAUUUGGUUCAUUGGAAUGCGUUUUUUACUGUAAUUGUACUGUAUAUAUGUGAGUAUGUUUCUUUUGGUAUUAAUGAAAGGUUUAUUUUAAAACAGGGCAUUGAAUGAUGAUGGGUGCACAGGAUUCUCACAGAAAGUGAAAGAAAGAGGUGAGAGAGGAAAGGAAAAAAGAAAAGAGAGAAUUUGUCUCAAGAAGGAAAUGUAACGUGAUGCCGACAAUGUCGUCAAUAAAUGAACUGUUCUCCUCCUCCAAAUCUGACAUUGCCAGUCCCGGAGUUAGACCCGCAUGUCCUCUGCUCUGCCGCACAAGCCAGUGACUCUUCCACAUCGCGCUGACCCCGCUGCAUGUCCGCCAGACGACGGCUGGUAUCCCGCGGACGUCUUAAAUGCCCCCUGCCCCUGGCUUCUCACCACUGGGGGGCAGCACUGUGCCACGUGGGCCAACCUUCAGCCUCGUCAGUAAGUGACUUCCUGUCACAUACGGUUCCGGAGAGACCUCUGAUGCAGUUCAGUCAUGGGAAACUGUAUGAUGUCAGAGAUGUGGAGAAGGAUUGUGCUAUAGUAUCUCUCUUCAGCACUGGAGUCUUAACGCCAGCGCACCAGGAUGCCAGGGUGUGGCUACGAGCAACUGCUGACAUGAGCGCUAGCUAGCCGUCGCCGGGCUCCUUCCAGGGUCGUGCUCCGCCCCGGCCUUCUGCGUGGGAGACAGAGCACACAGGCGCAUCCUGGGAAAUACUGGAAGCUACGCGCAGCCAUGCGCUCCCUGUACUUGGGCUGGAGUUCAGUUUGCUGUUGGAAACAGAGCUCCCUGCUGCUGUGGUUAAAGAAAGUCCUAUCGCUGAACUGUGAUAGGGACACUGUGCUGGAGGGCAGAAAAACACAGUGGACCCCCCAUCCCGCUCACUCCCCUGCUCCCCGUACAGAGCUCCGCCCCCAGACAGCAGAGCGGGGGUCACUCGUGCGCAAACAGGAUUUGGCGGAGGACCUGGAGCCCGUACACCCCAG